rnacentral:rRNA from 1 species
CAGUAGCCGCGGGAAUACAGAGGGUGCAAGCGUUAAUCGGAAUUACUGGGCGUAAAGCGCGCGUAGGUGGUUCGUUAAGUUGGAUGUGAAAUCCCCGGGCUCAACCUGGGAACUGCAUCCAAAACUGGCGAGCUAGAGUAGGGCAGAGGGUGGUGGAAUUUCCUGUGUAGCGGUGAAAUGCGUAGAUAUAGGAAGGAACACCAGUGGCGAAGGCGACCACCUGGGCUCAUACUGACACUGAGGUGCGAAAGCGUGGGGAGCAAACAGGAUUAGAUACCCCAGUAGUCCCUGUCUCUUAUAC